UUGUUGGUUGUUGUAGUAACGGGGGGAGCAGCCGUCGGCGGCGGCCGUGAGCCCGGCUGGGGAAGGAGGACGGAGGUAGGCGAAGAGCGCGGUCCCCGCCUGCCCGCCCGAGCCGUGGGAAGAUGAGACGGGAAUCAGUGCCACCCAAAUUGUUUGACCCAGUGAAUCUGCAAGGAAAGGUCUCUGAGGCCCCCGUCUGCUGACUGUAUGACAACCCCUAAAGGAAAUGCCAGUCGUGAUGGCCCGGGACCUGGAGGAAACAGCAUCAUCCUCAGAGGAUGAGGACGUGGUAAGCCAAGAGGAUCAUCCAUGUAUCAUGUGGACUGGAGGCUGCAGGAGAAUUCCAGUUUUGGUGUUCCAUGCUGAUGCUAUUCUGACAAAGGACAACAAUAUUCGAGUAAUUGGAGGCUCUACCACCUCACGCUCUGGACCUUCCUCCUCGCCCUGGGGCACUUCCUCUCCGAGGUGUUCGUAUAUGGGACCGCGGCUCCCACGAUUGGCAUCCUGGCACCCCUGAUGGUGGCAAGUUUCUCAAUCCUGGGAAUGCUAGUUGGGCUCCGGUACCUGGAAGUAGAACCAGUAUCCAGACAGAAGAAGAGAAACUGAGGCCAGCCCUACCACCUCCAAGACUUCGUCUUCCACCUUCGCUGUCCUGUGCCUUCAUCCUCUCUGCUCUUUAAUUUCUUCUUCUCUGCUCUGUCAUCAGCCGCCUUACCCACUUCUAGCCUUUUACAUUUUGCUUUUUUUAUUUUAUUUUUUUGCAAGGAAGAUCGGCCCUGAGCUAAAAUCUGCCAAUCCCCCUCUUUUUGCUGAGGAAGACUGGCCCUGGGCUAACAUCCAUGCCCAUCUUCCUCCACUUUAUAUGGGACGCCGCCACAGCAUGGCGCGACAAGCAGUGCAUCGGUGCGCGCCUGGGAUCCGAACUCGCAAACCCUGGGCUGCCGCAGCAGAGCACAUGCACUUAACUGCUUGCGCCACCGGGCCAGCCCCAUACAUUUUGGUUUUUGUUACAUUUAAUUAUUUUUAGAUAAAACAGGCAUACAAAGUAGUAUACAACAUGUAUGUACAAGGUAAAGAAUCAUUUUAAAGUGACUACGCUGUACCUCCAUCCAGAUCAAGAAAUUGCCAGCACCUCCAAAGCUCACUGGUGCCCUUCUCCCACCUCCACCUCUUCCAGGAUCACUUUUCCAGCCUUCUGCCUUUUUCCUUUUAUUUUCAAUCCGUGAUGUGACUUGUGUGGUGGGAACACGUGAACUGUGAAACUUAAAGCUGCUGCCUCACCCAAAGCAGCUGACACCAAGGGCUGCUUUCAGAGGUCGUCCACCCACGUUGGCCUCGUCUCUGCUGCCUGACCCAAGACUCUGAACCAUCCGAGGGACAGGCAGUUCUGAGAAGGGCUCCUCUGUGAGUGAGCGUGGCUCACAUCCUUGUAUCUACAUGUGGAUCAGGGUUGGAAGAGUCGGAGCUGUUUUAGACCUUCUGUUCAGCUGUGUUUGUGUAACAAAUUUUGUGAUAAAUAGAAAAACUCUCUGUUCUGAUCA